AACUAGAGGCUCUAAAGAGCCUGUGUCGCUCACCUUGGUCUAUGUGAAUAUUCAACAAAGGACACAGAUGGAUUCAUGACAAAAUUGUGUUUUGGUGGUGGCGAUGUGUUUGUAGAUCUUACUUUACUGAACAUUCUUGCUGCUUACAAUUAUCUCUAUCUAUAAUGAUUGGCCCAGUAGUUUCAGUGGAAAAUGUUAGUAAAAUUUACAAAGUUUAUGAAAAUUGUUAAAAAUUGACUAUAAAGGACAAUAACUCCUUAGGGGGUCAAUUGACCAUUUCAAUCAUGGUGACUUAUUUGUAAAUCUUACUUUGCUGAACAUUAUUGCUGUUUACAGUUUAUCUCUAUCUAUAAUAAUAUUCAAGAUAAUAACCAAAAAC
rnacentral:lncRNA from 1 species